CCAUCGUCCAUCCACACCUCAGUCACACAACUAACCUAAACUAAUGAGAGUGCAGCAGGGUUUGCAAAAAGGAGGGUUGGAGGAAGCUUUUAUGAAAUGGAAUGAGUAUUUUAAAAUGGGGUUUGGAUUCCAAUAUGGCAAACAGUGAACAGAAGUUACAGUGUAGGCACGUGUAGUGAAUGGUGAGCAGUGAACAGAAGUUACAAUGUAGGCACGUGUAGUGAAUGGUGAGCAGUGAACAGAAGUUACAGUGUAGACACGUGUAGUGAAUGGUGAACAGUGAACAGAAGUUACAGUGUAGGCACGUGUACUGAAUGGUGAACAGUGAACAGAAGUUACAGUGGAGGCACGUGUAGUGAAUGGUGAGCAGUGAACAGAAGUUACAAUGUAGGCACGUGUAGUGAAUGGUGAGCAGUGAACAGAAGUUACAAUGUAGGCACGUGUAGUGAAUGGUGAUCAGUGAACAGAAGUUACAGUGUAGGCACGUGUAGUGAAUGGUGAACAGUGAACAGAAGUUACAAUGUAGGCACGUGUAGUGAAUGGUGAACAGUGAACAGAAGUUACAAUGUAGGCACGUGUAGUGAAUGGUGAGCAGUGAACAGAAGUUACAAUGUAGGCACGUGUAGUGAAUGGUGAACAGAAGUUACAAUGUAGGCACGUGUAGUGAAUGGUGAGUAGUGAACAGAAGUUACAGUGUCGGCACGUGUAGCGAAUGGUGAACAGAAGUUACAAUGUAGGCACAUGUAGCGAAUGGUGAACAGAAGUUACAAUAGUGAAACAGUGCCAGUCUCAGUGAUUUAAGCAGGACUUGGACUGCUAGUGAAACGUACAAGGGCAGCUGACUGAACAGCUCCGGCUCUUAGCCAGCAUCUCCACUGUCAAUUAGCCAGGUCUUGGGGGAACCGGU